AAGUGGGGAAUAACUCCGCGAAAGCGGUGCUAAUACCGCAUAUGGUCGCCGGUGAAAGACCGGUGGACGAAAGCCCUUCGGGCGCUUCCGGAGGGACGUGCGGCCGAUUAGCUUGUUGGUGGGGUAACGGCUCACCAAGGCGACGAUCGGUAGCUGGUCUGAGAGGACGGCCAGCCACACGGGGACUGAGACACGGCCCCGACUCCUACGGGAGGCAGCAGCAAGGAAUUUUGCGCAAUGGGCGAAAGCCUGACGCAGCAACGCCGCGUGGGGGAUGAAGGCCUUCGGGUCGUAAACCCCUUUUGCAGGGGAAGCAACUGACGGUACCCUGCGAAUAAGCCACGGCUAACUACGUGCCAGCAGCCGCGGUAAUACGUAGGUGGCAAGCGUUGUCCGGAUUUACUGGGCGUAAAGCGCGCGCAGGCGGCUCGCCAAGUCUGGGGUGAAAUCUCCCGGCUCAACCGGGAGAGGUCUCUGGAUACUGGCGGGCUUGAGGAGAGCAGAGGAGAGUGGAAUUCCCGGUGUAGCGGUGAUAUGCGUAGAUAUCGGGAGGAACACCAGUGGCGAAGGCGGCUCUCUGGGCUCUUCCUGACGCUGAGGCGCGAAAGCGUGGGGAGCGAACCGGAUUAGAUACCCGGGUAGUCCACGCUGUAAACGUUGGGCACUAGGUGUGGGAGGUAUUGACCCCUUCCGUGCCGCAGUUAACGCGAUAAGUGCCCCGCCUGGGGAGUACGGCC
rnacentral:rRNA from 1 species